UACGUAGGGUGCGAGCGUUGUCCGGAAUUACUGGGCGUAAAGAGCUCGUAGGCGGUCUGUCGCGUCCGUUGUGAAAACUCGAGGCUCAACCUCGGGCUUGCAGUGGAUACGGGGCAGACUAGAGUGCGGUAGGGGAGACUGGAAUUCCUGGUGUAGCGGUGGAAUGCGCAGAUAUCAGGAGGAACACCCGAGGCGAAGGCAGCUCGCUGGGACGUUACUGACGCUGGAGAACGCGAAAGCGUGGGGAGCAAACAGG
rnacentral:rRNA from 1 species